AUUGAACGCUGGCGGCAGGCCUAACACAUGCAAGUCGAGCGGAUGAAGGGAGCUUGCUCCUGGAUUCAGCGGCGGACGGGUGAGUAAUGCCUAGGAAUCUGCCUGGUAGUGGGGGAUAACGUCCGGAAACGGGCGCUAAUACCGCAUACGUCCUGAGGGAGAAAGUGGGGGAUUUUCGGACCUCACGCUAUCAGAUGAGCCUAGGUCGGAUUAGCUAGUUGGUGGGGUAAAGGCCUACCAAGGCGACGAUCCGUAACUGGUCUGAGAGGAUGAUCAGUCACACUGGAACUGAGGCACGGUCCAGACUCCUACGGGAGGCAGCAGUGGGGAAUAUUGGACAAUGGGCGAAAGCCUGAUCCAGCCAUGCCGCGUGUGUGAAGAAGGUCUUCGGAUUGUAAAGCACUUUAAGUUGGGAGGAAGGGCAGUAAGUUAAUACCUUGCUGUUUUGACGUUACCAACAGAAUAAGCACCGGCUAACUUCGUG
rnacentral:rRNA from 1 species